rnacentral:rRNA from 1 species
AUUGAACGAUGGCGGCAGGCCUAACACAUGCAAGUCGAACGAGCGGCGGACGGGUGAGUAAUGUAUGGGAAACUGCAUGAUGGAGGGGGAUAACUACUGGAAACGGUAGCUAAUACAGCAUACCAUCAGAAGAGCCCAUAUGGGAUUAGCUAGAAGGGAGGGUAAAGGCUUACAGGGGAGACGAUCCCUAGCUGGUCUGAGAGGAUGACCAGCCACACUGGAACUGAGACACGGCCCAGCCUCCUACGGGAGGCAGCAGUUGGGAAGAUUGCACACUGGGCGCAAGCCUGAUGCAGCCAUGCCGCGUGUAUGAUGAAGGCCUUCGGGUUGUAAAGUACUUUCAGUCGGGAGUCGUUACCGACAGAAGAAGCACCGGCUAACGCCGUGCCAGCCGCCGCGGUAAUUC